rnacentral:lncRNA from 1 species
UGAUACAAGGGUUGCACAGAUGCAGUGGCAUUUUCUUGAAAUUGUCCCUAAUUCUGUUUUAGGAAUCUUCAGUACAAGGUUAUUCUAUGUGCAGAGCCAGGUGCCACUGGGUACUAUAGUCCAGACAGUUAUCCUACAAACUGCAUUGAAGAAAAGAGGCCAUUAUUUGUCUUGUCUCAAGGCAAAUCAAAGAUGAUCCUUCAUCCAAGGACUGACCCCUUUUCAAAGAAGAGGUUCCAGAAUCUGUCUGAUGUAUUUUCUCUUUUGGACAACUAUACUUGAGCAGGCUCUGGAUGUGGACUCUGGAAACAGCUUGCUGACUGAAAUUGAACCAGAAUACAAGCCCCCAAGAAAAAUACUGCUUUCUCUUGCAAUUUAAGGCCUCUCAAAAGGAAUCUGCCCUCAGACACCUAGGAUGCAGGGAAAAAAUGGAUCAGAAGAAAAUUUUGUU